UAACCCUCAAGCCUAGCUUGGUGUUGGGGCCUACCUCUGGGUAGCCCUUAAAAUCAGUGGCGGUGCCAUCUGGCUCUAAGCGUAGUAAUUCUUCUCGCUACAGAGUUCCGGUGGAUGCUUGCCAACAACCCCUAAUUUUUUAUG
rnacentral:misc_RNA from 1 species